CUCACAGCUUCCCUUUCUUGGAAAUAUUUGCUGCCAUAUGCUGGCUGCUCCUUUCCUGAACCCAUGCUGUGGACAAGGGAGCAGAGUCAGAGGGAGGAGCGCACAGACCAGUAACCGAAGCCAAACUGAUGAAGUGAUGUCACAGCAAAGCUGUGGCCUGAUGGGCUGGUCGAAAUUGGCAGGUACGAUAUGAUGGGCUUCAUGGAGACGUCUCUGCAAGAGGAUUGGGACUGGGAGCAAAAUAUCCAAAAAGUACAUCUUACCGAAAAUACAGACAGUUUCAGCUACCCUUAGCAAUUCGCACUUGCCUAUCCUAGGGCAGUUCUGCUGACUUAUCACUCUUGAAUAUCAAUUGACACUUUAGUAGUGACAGCUCAUGACUAAUGAUGUCCUUUUCAGCCAAUCUUGUUUUGAUGGUAUCUGCUGUACUAUGUAAUCAUUGUUUGAAGCUCCACCUCAUUAAGUUACAAUCUCCCAUUUCUUUCACUUUGUGUGCUCCAUCUUUUACCACCACCUGUGCAAUCUGACCCCAUUUGCACAGGUUGCAUAAUUCAUUCCCAUUCACUAAAGUAGGGCAGUCUUAAUCUAACAAAGUCAGAUAAUUUAACUUACUGCCGGGGUAAAUUAACAUG